rnacentral:lncRNA from 10 species
UGCAGAGAGCAGUCAGACUUGCUGGGCACAUCCCAGGCUGCCUAGAUCUUACCAGAGAAAACAGGAGGGAGCGGCUUCUCUCCGCAUGUGGGACAAAGCCAAGCAGAAAGGAUACUUGAAUUGUGACGGUGUCUGCUCAGGCCAUCCCUGCUGCAGGCUCCAUUUUAGGGAGCAGUCUCUACUAACCCACCUGGAUUAGCACCAUUGGUUUAGAAGAUGUGUGGCCUUCCCAAGAUACCCGCUCACAGCCCUCACCUGAUUCUUUUCAACAACCUUGCAGACUGCUGUUCCAGAACCACCACCAUGUGAGUUUUCAAGGCAUUUUUACCCAAAUGUCAUCUCACUGUUUUUAUGUUAUCA